rnacentral:rRNA from 1 species
UAGUCUGGUGCCAGCAGCCGCGGUAAGACGGAGGAUGCAAGUGUUAUCCGGAAUCACUGGGCGUAAAGCGUCUGUAGGUGGUUUAGUAAGUCUAUUGUUAAAUCUUGAGGCUCAACUUCAAAUCAGCAAUGGAAACUGCUAGACUCGAGUAUGGUAGAGGUAAGAGGAAUUUCCAGUGGAGCGGUGAAAUGCGUAGAUAUUGGAAAGAACACCGAUGGCGAAGGCAUCUUACUGGGCCAUUACUGACACUCAGAGACGAAAGCUAGGGUAGCAAAUGGGAUUAGAUACCCCAGUAGUCCUAGCAGUAAACGAUGGAUACUAGAUGUUGCCCGUAUCAACCCGUGCAGUGUCAAAGCUAACGCGUUAAGUAUCCCGCCUGGGAAGUAUGCUCGCAAGAGUGAAACUCAAAGGAAUUGACGGGGGCCCGCACAAGCGGUGGAGCAUGUGGUUUAAUUUGAUGCAACGCGAAGAACCUUACCAGGGUUUGACAUGACAUGAAUUCUUCUGAGAAGAAGAAGUGCCUUUUAGGAACAUGUACACAGGUGGUGCAUGGCCGUUCUU